UGCACACCUGAACGCAACACUAAUGGAAAGAUUCAGCAUCUUGGUCGGCUGCUCACGGUGGGGCUUGUGGCUGGUGGUUGCGGCAGUGGCAGAGCAGUGUCCGAGAGCGUGGCGCAAGCAGUGGCCCCUGCUAUGUGGGCUGAUGGGAGCACACCGUCCAAGCAGCGCUUCAAGUCUGACAAUGUCCGCUCUACACCAAGGUACGUGGGCACUCGUGCAAAGAUCUAACAUCUUCACCGGCUAGGACUAAGGUAUGUGUUUUCUUCUGCCCGUGUGAUGUGGUGAUAAUUUGUUAUGCAUAUGUUUGUAGAUGUUAGUCAGUAUUUGGGAGAUAUGAGGUAGUUUGCUAGAUAAGAAAUAGAACAAGAACAAGAAGGAGCUUUAGUUGGGCCAUGUCAUUGUGAACUUGGAGCACAGAAAUUUAUAGGAGGUGGUUGUCGUAAAACUAGGUGCUUAAGAUCUGCGGAACUAUAACAUUUUUUGAGUCUAAGUAAAACAAAUUUACUUUCUGGGUCUAACUAUGUUAAUAAUUUCUUGCGUGAAUAGAUGGGCCAAGCCGAGCAGGCCAUCACUUUUCUGAAAACUAUAUCGCCAUUUAUUUAGCCAGUACAAUGUUUAUUUUCUGAAAACUAUAUUGCUGUUGUAGGUUAUCUGAUUAAAAUUACAUCCCCUUCUUGUGUUUUAUGAGUUGAUUUCUACCAUGUACUGUAACGGCCGUGCAGUGACCUUUUCGAAGCGAGAUGUUUUUUGUCAUGAAUUUAAACUUGAAUUGCUAACACGCUGGUACUUUUAUCUGAUGAGCAUUUGACAUGAUUUUGUAGUUUGUGAGGGUUGAAGCCAAAAGAAGAACAACAUACAAUGAGGUUGCAGAUGAAAUUUAUUCAGAGCUGAAGUCCAUGGCACAUAUUGGUCAAGGGGUUUGUAUAAUAUGGACUUCUUUGUUCCCUUUCCACUUUUUUCUUGGAAUUAAGAAGCAUCGCUCCCAAUUCCAUUUAGCACGGAACUGAUACAAAGAGUGCCGGCCCACCAAAUGUCAUGGUUCCAGAAAUUUUAUUACAAACAUCCACAUGUUAUAGAACCUCUAACCAGCACCGCCACCUUACUGUCUUUGCAACUACGACAAUGGAACACAACAACCUCGCACUGGCCGGAUCCUCCGUGCCAUGUCCAUCCAAUGCCGCUCUGCUUCGCUCUCCAUGUCAUCACCAGCCACCCUCCCUGUGCAGUGACGACCUGCUGGUCGCGGUGCUGCUUUGCAUCCUUUAUGAUGGUGCAUCUGGAACAUAUGCGGAAUGAUGCAUCCAUGGUCAAGCUUCGAUAGACUUGCUAAAGUUAAAGCUCAUGAUGAACUUGUGCAGACAAUGUCUCUGAUGUUCAAGAGAGAACACUGUAAAUGAGGACAAUGUCGUGAGCUGCAAAUCUGUAAAUGAUGUUGAAGAGAGAGCUAUAAAUGUCUCUGCAACAACGGACCUGCAGCCUGUAGGUAAUUGGUCUUGUGUCUUCCAGCUACAAUAAAAAGAGUCUAAGCAAUAAAGGUCCUACUAAUCAAUUAAGUUGGCCGUUUGCUUGCUUCUUGUGCCUACAACAAGCUCGCUGGAUUGUUUUAUCGUAGUAUGAAAGCUUGUAAGCGCGAGAUUGAGGUCCUACUAAUAAAUUAAGGUGGAUGCUUGCUUGCUUUUUUUCCUCAGUAUUGCAAGCUUUACUGUGAAUUAAAAGGAAUUGAGUUCCUCUAAGCACAAUUUAAUUAUUGGUGAGCAUUCAGGUGAGUGAUCAGCUUAUGCUCCACCGAUGCAGGCAUCCAGAGGUUCGACUGCGUUGGCAGGAGCUCGGUUGGUUUACUUAUAUGCCUUUUUUCUGCAACAUUGGGUUAUUUGGGUAGUUCAUGCAUGUUCGUCCUCUUUAUAUGGUUUUUCUCAUAAUGCGCGCCCCGAAGAUAGGUUCUUUUAGUUGCUACAGAUUUUAGUUUUUUCUGCUUACUGUCAUGUCCACUUUCUUAUCUGAUUAAGCAACUAAUAUAUUAAUAUCUGUGCAAAGUUCUACCAUUUUUGCACUCACUUAUGGGGCCAUCUAUGUAGAGUUUGUUCUGCUAUUCUCCAACUUAAAUAAAGAAUGCAGUCUCAUGUCAUUGUCUUUGCUAAUACAGUUUGUAAUGCAAUCCAAUUGUAGUGUCAUGUUCCAGCUCCUUUUAUUUUCAUCGUGAUGUGCAAGGUUGUUCAUGUGCUCUUCUUGCCAUGCACUAAUCAAAGUGUACAUGUAGAUGCUAAAAAUUGCUUAUCAUCAAAUUACUUGACUUAUGUACUGCUUGGAUUUGUUUAAUUAAAGAGAUGUCUCUUUAAAUUGACUAUAUUUACUUGUCACACAUCAUUUGGGUCUUUUGCAUUGCCAAGAGUUGUUACCUGAAACUUCAUACAUUGUAAUUUCUUGUUAUCCUUCUGUGCAUGGAGUCAUCUUGUGGGUAGUACAAUCCAGGUCGACAAUGCUGAGAUAAUCAUCAUUUUAAUUAUGACAGAUUACCAAGUUUAAUAUUUCAGUUCUCCGAAACAUAAUCUGAUUAUGACAGCUUAUCAAAUUUAAUAUUCUACACAUGGUGAACUUCAUCAAAUUAGGAUACCUACUUGUUUUAUCAUUCUAUCAGCAACCUAAGCUGAUACUAUAAGAUAUUAAACCCACUUGUAGUUCAGACCUUGCACGAUUCUGAUGGGGAAGAAAAAAGUGACUUGUCCCUAUGGGCUAUGGAGACAAUGGAUCUCCUCUGUAUGAAGGUGAUGUUGGUUCGACAAAUGGAUAUCUCUACCUUUUGUUUUGUGAAGAGUUGUGUCUGAAACCUGGUGAAACGACAGGGAAAUAGAAUACAGGGUCUAUAAUGAAAAGAUGUUUUAUUUUGAGCACGAUGCAGAACUUGUUCUCAGUAUACUAUGCCAUUUUUCAUAUGUUGACAUGUGAUUCCAAAUAAGUUCUAUUGGUUUAGAAAAAUGUAAUCCUGCAAAAGAAAUAUUCCACAUUUUAAUUUUAAAUUUAAUAUAUAUUGUAUAUGAGCUUAUUUUAAUUUUUUAUUUAAUAUAUGUUUAUAUGUUUACUUUUUUAAGAUCAAUAUAAAAACCAUUGGCUUUGGAUGUUGCUUUGAAAAUGUCAAUUGACUAAGUUACUGACAUAACUAUGAUGUACUGAAACUAAUCGAGUUUUAUACUUUUAUACAAGGAAAAUGAUUCCUUUUGGGCUGUUGACGGAAGCUUGCGCCAGUCGCCCGUGACUCGUUCGAUCACGUCUCAUCUAUCAGUUCUCCCUAACGCACACAUCCAGGCGAUUCAAUCCCCUCCUUCAUCCUUACCUCAUGAGGAAACCGCCAGCCACUUGUUCUCUCCCGUUCCUCUCAUCUCUCAAGCUUCGUUUUGUCCCUCUCUCACAUCACCUUUUUUCUCCUUUUCAUCCAGCGUCACUGCUGGACGUAGUUGCGAGUAUGAAUGUGGGGGCAGGCGACGAGUCGGCUGCAAGUGCGAGCGCGGUGUUGUGGCGACGGGCAGCAAGGACGAACGCGUGCACGAGCUGCGCUGCUGCAGGAGGCGCCGCAGCGUGAUGCAACUGAGGAGCUACAACCACCAGUUAGUGAAGCUGCAACCGUCAUAUGGUGCCUACAUUCAGACGGCCGGCAACGACGGCUGCCGGCUGCGUGUGGAGACGAGCAUGGCGAGACGAAAAGCUGCAACAGGCAAAGAUUUUUGUUGGAACCGGCGGCAUGUUUUGUUGGGACCGGCAGGACGAUGUGCUACGACGGUGAUGCAGGGGCGGAGACGGUGUGUUGGGACCGGGAAGACGAAUAGCUGCAACCGACAAUAAUCAACCAGUUACAUGUUUGGAGAAGACCACUUGCGUUGGGCAAGAGGGUUCUGCUGUGGAGACCAAGAAAAAGGAUGACAACAUUGGGGACGCCUCAACUGCCGAUGAUGAACGCAGCUCGGAACAAGCAAAGCUCCACGCGAGGCUCCCCUUCUUAGACCAGUACUAAGGACUGCAGUUAUGUGGAUCCACUUUACCAGAAUGUCGAGCCCAUCAUAUCGUGUUCGACCCAUGAACCGGAAGGAUUGCUUGCCACUAUGUGGUAUAGUUGUCCUUUGAGAUAUAUUAUUGUUUGUAUGAAUUAUGAGCUUCUCUGUGUCUAAAUUUACUCAAAUAGUCUUCUAGGAAUCUUGUUUUUGAUCCACUUUGGAGUCACAAUUUGUUGCUUGACACUUUGUUGUCUAACCCUCAAUUAAAGUUAUUACUA